rnacentral:rRNA from 1 species
UCCUACGGGAGGCAGCAGUGGGGAAUUUUCCGCAAUGGGCGAAAGCCUGACGGAGCAAUACAGCGUGAGGGAAGACUGCCUAUGGGUUGUAAACCUCUUUUUUCAGGGAGGAAUAAAAUGACGUGUACCUGAAGAAUAAGCAUCGGCUAACUCCGUGCCAGCAGCCGCGGUAAGACGGAGGAUGCAAGUGUUAUCCGGAAUCACUGGGCGUAAAGCGUCUGUAGGUGGUUUAAUAAGUCAACUGUUAAAUCUUGAGGCUCAACUUCAAAAUCGCAGUCGAAACUAUUAGACUAGAGUAUAGUAGAGGUAAAGAGAAUUUCCAGUGGAGCGGUGAAAUGCGUAGAUAUUGGAAAGAACACCGAUGGCGAAAGCACUUUACUGGGCUAUUACUAACACUCAGAGACGAAAGCUAGGGUAGCAAACGGGAUCAGAUACCCCAGUAGUCCUAGCCGUAAACUAUGGAUACUAGAUGUUGAACAGAUCGACCUGUGCAGUAUCAAAGCUAACGCGUUAAGUAUCCCGCCUGGGAAGUAUGCUCGCAAGAGUGAAACUCAAAUGAAUUGACGG